GUGCAGACUCUGUGCAAUAAGGCACCGUGAACCAUGUCAGGCGGGGAACCGAGCAGCAUUAAACGGAUCGCUUUAUGUGCCGCAGUCGGUCUGCACACC
rnacentral:SRP_RNA from 1 species